GAGUUUGAUCAUGGCUCAGGAUGAACGCUGGCGGCGUGCUUAACACAUGCAAGUCGAACGAACCUUCGGGUUAGUGGCGGACGGGUGAGUAACGCGUGGGAAUCUGCCCUCAGGAGGGGGAUAACGGUUGGAAACGACCGCUAAUACCCCAUAUGCCGAGAGGUGAAAUGAAUUUCGCCUGAGGAUGAGCCCGCGUCUGAUUAGCUUGUUGGUGAGGUAAUGGCUCACCAAGGCAUCGAUCAGUAGCUGGUCUGAGAGGAUGAUCAGCCACACUGGGACUGAGACACGGCCCAGACUCCUACGGGAGGCAGCAGUGGGGAAUUUUCCGCAAUGGGCGAAAGCCUGACGGAGCAACGCCGCGUGAGGGACGAAGGCCUCUGGGCUGUAAACCUCUUUUCUCAAGGAAGAGGAUAUGACGGUACUUGAGGAAUAAGCCACGGCUAAUUCCGUGCCAGCAGCCGCGGUAAUACGGGAGUGGCAAGCGUUAUCCGGAAUUAUUGGGCGUAAAGCGUCCGCAGGCGGCCUUUCAAGUCUGCUGUUAAAGCGUGGAGCUUAACUCCAUCAUGGCAGUGGAAGCUGAUUGGCUUGAGUAUGGUAGGGGCAGAGGGAAUUCCCGGUGUAGCGGUGAAAUGCGUAGAUAUCGGGAAGAACACCAGUGGCGAAGGCGCUCUGCUGGGCCAUUACUAACGCUCAUGGACGAAAGCCAGGGGAGCGAAAGGGAUUAGAUACCCCUGUAGUCCUGGCCGUAAACGAUGAACACUAGGUGUCGGGGGAAUCGACCCCUUCGGUGUCGUAGCUAACGCGUUAAGUGUUCCGCCUGGGGAGUACGCACGCAAGUGUGAAACUCAAAGGAAUUGACGGGGGCCCGCACAAGCGGUGGAGUAUGUGGUUUAAUUCGAUGCAACGCGAAGAACCUUACCAGGGCUUGACAUCCUGCGCACCUUUAAGAAAUUAGAGGGUGCCUUCGGGAACGCAGUGACAGGUGGUGCAUGGCUGUCGUCAGCUCGUGUCGUGAGAUGUUGGGUUAAGUCCCGCAACGAGCGCAACCCACGUUUUUAGUUGCCAGCAUUUAGUUGGGCACUCUAGAAAGACCGCCGGUGAUAAACCGGAGGAAGGUGUGGAUGACGUCAAGUCAUCAUGCCCCUUACGUCCUGGGCUACACACGUACUACAAUGCUACGGACAAAGGGCGGCAAACUCGCGAGAGCUAGCAAAUCCCAUAAACCGUGGCUCAGUUCAGAUCGUAGGCUGCAACUCGCCUACGUGAAGUAGGAAUCGCUAGUAAUCGCAGGUCAGCAUACUGCGGUGAAUACGUUCCCGGGCCUUGUACACACCGCCCGUCACACCAUGGAAGUUGGCCAUGCCCGAAGUCGUUACUUUAACCCUUGUGGAGAAGGACGCCGAAGGUGGGGCUGAUGACUGGGGUGAAGUCGUAACAAGGUAACC
rnacentral:rRNA from 1 species